GCCAGGUGUGGUGGUGCACACCUGUAAUCCCAGUGGCUCGGGAGGCUGAAACAGGAGGAUCACAAGUUGAAAGCCAGCCUCAGAAAAAGUGAGGCACUGAGCAACUCAGUGAGACCCUGUCUCUA
rnacentral:sRNA from 1 species